AUACGGAGGGUGCAAGCGUUGUUCGGAAUCACUGGGCGUAAAGAGCAUGUAGGCGGUCUGUUAAGUCUGGUGUGAAAGCCCGGGGCUCAACCCCGGAAGUGCAUUGGAUACUGGCAGACUUGAGUAUGUGAGAGGAAAGCGGAAUUCCGAGUGUAGGAGUGAAAUCCGUAGAUAUUCGGAGGAACACCAGUGGCGAAGGCGGCUUUCUGGACCAAUACUGACGCUGAGAUGCGAAAGCGUGGGGAGCAAACAGAAUUAGAAACCCGAGUAGUCC
rnacentral:rRNA from 1 species